CGUUAACGUUAACGUUAACGUUAACGUUAACGUUAACGUUAACGUUAACGUUAACGUUAACGUUAACGUUAACGUUAACGUUAACGUUAACGUUAACG
rnacentral:pre_miRNA from 2 species